ACAGAGGAACACGCGAAGAAACGUGAGGUGUUAGCGGAACGGGAGCAGAAAAUUCAAACUGAGGUGAAAGAAAUAAGGAAGGUGUUUCAUUGUGAUCUCUGCAACAAGCAAUACAAAUUGGCUAUGGAAUUCGAAGUUCACCUAAGUUCAUAUGAUCACAAUCACAGAAAGCGUUUUAAAGAAAUGAAAGAGAUGCAUGGUUCUAGCAGUCGUGAUGAUCGGCAAAAGCGGGAACUGCAACGACAAGAGAGAGAGAUGGCUAAGUUUGCUCAGAUGGCAGAUGCUCGUAAACAGCAACAGCAACAGCAACAGCAACAACAGCAGCAGGUGGAAGAGUCUGGAUCUGGUCAGGUUUCCAAUUCAAUGAGAAGUGGAACUGCACUUGCCGAUCAGGAUCAGCGGAAGGCAUUAAAAUUUGGGUUUUCUUCUAAGAGUGGCACUUCUAAGAAGCCAUCUGGUGGUGAUGCAAAGAAGCCGAAAGUAGCUGUAGCCUCAGUCUUUGGCAAUGAUAGUGACGAAGAACAGUAAAUUUUGACCCUGUAGCUUGAAAUCAGCUAUAUGACCUAUGAUAUGUUCUCGUUUUACUUGGUUCAUGAUUUGUACUAUCUAUGGCCA
rnacentral:misc_RNA from 1 species